rnacentral:misc_RNA from 1 species
UCCGGUUUGUCACCGGCAGUCCCAUUAAAGUGCCCAACUAAAUGAUGGCAAUUAAUGGCAAGGGUUGCGCUCGUUGCGGGACUUAACCCAACAUCUCACGACACGAGCUGACGACAGCCAUGCAGCACCUGUGUUCAGGUUCCCUUUCGGGCACCCUCGCAUCUCUGCAAGGUUCCUGACAUGUCAAGGGUAGGUAAGGUUUUUCGCGUUGCAUCGAAUUAAUCCACAUAAUCCACCGCUUGUGCGGGUCCCCGUCAAUUCCUUUGAGUUUUAAUCUUGCGACCGUACUCCCCAGGCGGUCAACUUCACGCGUUAGCUGCGUUACCGAAUGAUUUCUCAUCCGACAACUAGUUGACAUCGUUUAGGGCGUGGACUAC